rnacentral:rRNA from 1 species
AGUUGUGCUUCGCUGACGAGUGGCGGACGGGUGAGUAAUGUCUGGGAAACUGCCUGAUGGAGGGGGAUAACUACUGGAAACGGUAGCUAAUACCGCAUAACGUCGCAAGACCAAAGAGGGGGACCUUCGGGCCUCUUGCCAUCGGAUGUGCCCAGAUGGGAUUAGCUAGUAGGUGGGGUAACGGCUCACCUAGGCGACGAUCCCUAGCUGGUCUGAGAGGAUGACCAGCCACACUGGAACUGAGACACGGUCCAGACUCCUACGGGAGGCAGCAGUGGGGAAUAUUGCACAAUGGGCGCAAGCCUGAUGCAGCCAUGCCGCGUGUAUGAAGAAGGCCUUCGGGUUGUAAAGUACUUUCAGCGGGGAGGAAGGGAGUAAAGUUAAUACCUUUGCUCAUUGACGUUACCCGCAGAAGAAGCACCGGCUAACUCCGUGCCAGCAGCCGCGGUAAUACGGAGGGUGCAAGCGUUAAUCGGAAUUACUGGGCGUAAAGCGCACGCAGGCGGUUUGUUAAGUCAGAUGUGAAAUCCCCGGGCUCAACCUGGGAACUGCAUCUGAUACUGGCAAGCUUGAGUCUCGGUAAGGGGGGUAGAAUUCCAGGUGUAGCGGUGAAAUGCGUAAGAUCUGGAGGAAUACCGGUGGCGAANGCGGGCCCCUGGACCAAAGACUGACGCUCANGUGCGAAAGCGUGGGGGAGCACAACAG